rnacentral:rRNA from 1 species
CCUACGGGGGGCAGCAGUAGGGAAUCUUCCACAAUGGGCGGAAGCCUGAGGGAGCAACGCCGCGUGGGUGAAGAAGGUCUUCGGAUCGUAAAACCCUGUUGUUAGAGAAGAAAGUGCGUGAGAGUAACUGUUCACGUUUCGACGGUAUCUAACCAGAAAGCCACGGCUAACUACGUGCCAGCAGCCGCGGUAAUACGUAGGUGGCAAGCGUUAUCCGGAUUUAUUGGGCGUAAAGGGAACGCAGGCGGUCUUUUAAGUCUGAUGUGAAAGGUCGGGGCCCAACCCCGGGACUGCAUUGGAAACUG